rnacentral:rRNA from 1 species
AGCGAACGUUAGCGGCGGGCCUAACACAUGCAAGUCGAGCGAGAAAAGGGCUUCGGCCCUGAGUAAAGCGGCGGACGGGUGAGUAACACGUAGGUAAUCUUCCCUUGAGCGGGGGACAACGUUCCGAAAGGGACGCUAAUACCGCAUAAGUUCUCCGAGACUCCGGUCAUGGCGAGGAAAGCUAGGCAGCAAUGUCCGGC